rnacentral:siRNA from 1 species
AUCUUUUGAUGGUGAUAAUUCUA